rfam:Salmo salar isolate Sally breed double haploid chromosome ssa08, whole genome shotgun sequence.
CCCUGUGGCUCAGUUGGUAGAGCAUGGUGUUUGCAAUGCCAGGGUUGUGGGUUCGAUUCCCACAGGGG